CAAGUCGAACGCGUCUUGGUUAUUGAUGUUAAGUGCUUGCAUUUAAUUGAUUUAACAUUGAGACGAGUGGCGAACUGGUGAGUAACACGUGGGUAACCUGCCCUUGAAGUAGGGGAUAACACUUGGAAACAGGUGCUAAUACCGUAUAACAACCAAAACCACCUGGUUUUGGUUUAAAAGAUGGCUUCGGCUAUCACUUUAGGAUGGACCCGCGGCGUAUUAGCUUGUUGGUAAGGUAACGGCCUACCAAGGCAAUGAUACGUAGCCGACCUGAGAGGGUAAUCGGCCACAUUGGGACUGAGACACGGCCCAAACUCCUACGGGAGGCAGCAGUAGGGAAUCUUCCACAAUGGACGAAAGUCUGAUGGAGCAACGCCGCGUGAGUGAUGGAGGGUUUCGGCUCGUAAAACUCUGUUGUUGGAGAAGAACAGGUGUGAGAGUAACUGUUCACAUCUUGACGGUAUCCAACCAGAAAGCCACGGCUAACUACGUGCCAGCAGCCGCGGUAAUACGUAGGUGGCAAGCGUUGUCCGGAUUUAUUGGGCGUAAAGCGAGCGCAGGCGGUUUCUUAGGUCUGAUGUGAAAGCCUUCGGCUUAACCGGAGAAGUGCAUCGGAAACCAGGAGACUUGAGUGCAGAAGAGGACAGUGGAACUCCAUGUGUAGCGGUGAAAUGCGUAGAUAUAUGGAAGAACACCAGUGGCGAAGGCGGCUGUCUGGUCUGUAACUGACGCUGAGGCUCGAAAGCAUGGGUAGCGAACAGGAUUAGAUACCCUGGUAGUCCAUGCCGUAAACGAUGAGUGCUAAGUGUUGGAGGGUUUCCGCCCUUCAGUACUGCAGCUAACGCAUUAAGCACUCCGCCUGGGGAGUAC
rnacentral:rRNA from 1 species